AUUGAACGCUGGCGGAAUGCUUUACACAUGCAAGUCGAGCGGCAGCGCGGGGGCAACCCUGGCGGCGAGCGGCGAACGGGUGAGUAAUACAUCGGAACGUGUCCUUAAGUGGGGGAUAGCUCGGCGAAAGCCGGAUUAAUACCGCAUAAGCUCUGAGGAGGAAAGCGGGGGCUCCGUAAGGACCUCGCGCUGUUGGAGCGGCCGAUGUCGGAUUAGCUAGUUGGUGGGGUAAAGGCCCACCAAGGCGACGAUCCGUAGCUGGUCUGAGAGGAUGAUCAGCCACACUGGAACUGAGACACGGUCCAGACUCCUACGGGGAGGCAGCAGUGGGGAAUUUUGGACAAUGGGGGCAACCCUGAUCCAGCCAUUCCGCGUGAGUGAAGAAGGCC
rnacentral:rRNA from 1 species